rnacentral:rRNA from 1 species
GACGAACGCUGGCGGCGCGCUUAACACAUGCAAGUCGAGCGAGAACCAGCCCUUCGGGGCUGGGGACAGCGGCGAACGGGUGAGUAACACGUGGGUAAUCUGCCCUCGGCACCGGGAUAGCCCGGGGAAACCCGGAUUAAUACCGGAUGGCCUUUCGAGCCCUCGGGCUUGAGAGAAAAGGUAGCUUUGGCCUCUGGCCGAGGAUGAGCCCGCGGCCGAUUAGCUUGUUGGUGAGGUAAUGGCCCACCAAGGCGACGAUCGGUAGCUGGUCUGAGAGGACGAUCAGCCACACUGGGACUGAGACACGGCCAGACUCCUACGGGAGGCAGCAGGUGGGGAAUCUUGCGCAAUGGGCGAAAGCCUGACGCAGCGA